UUCAAACUUGUGUGAUACUGGAAGUAAUUAUAUAAUCAUGCCUAAUCAGUGUAUGUAACUAAUGAAUAUAUGGACAUCUAUUAACAUUGGAACACAUGUUAUGUUGUUGUUUAUGCAGGAUCAACUGUAGCUAUUAAGUUGGAGAGUGUCACUACAAGAACAGCAUUGUUGAAGGAUGUUCGGCAGUUGUCCCCACAGCAUCAGACCUUUUCCCUGGAGGCCUUUCACUCGCUUAUCCUCCACUUUGCACCUAAGCACACUGGCUUCUCCUUCCUUGGGAUGUACAGCAGGCUUCUCUUGGCAGCCCUGCAUUACAACCACAAUGGAAGUCGAGAGGUUGCACGAACACAUGACGGCGAGGUUCAAUAUGGAGUUCGUUACCCAAGGUUCCGCAAAGGAGGCUGGGUCGUCCGCCCUGUCAAGGAGAAGCCAUCGUACGCUUAUGCAUCUGCCCUUAUGGAG